AGUGAACGCUGGCGGUAGGCCUAACACAUGCAAGUCGAACGGCAGCACAGUAAGAGCUUGCUCUUACGGGUGGCGAGUGGCGGACGGGUGAGGAAUACAUCGGAAUCUACUUUUUCGUGGGGGAUAACGUAGGGAAACUUACGCUAAUACCGCAUACGACCUACGGGUGAAAGCAGGGGAUCUUCGGACCUUGCGCGAUUGAAUGAGCCGAUGUCGGAUUAGCUAGUUGGCGGGGUAAAGGCCCACCAAGGCGACGAUCCGUAGCUGGUCUGAGAGGAUGAUCAGCCACACUGGAACUGAGACACGGUACAGACUCCUACGGGAGGCAGCAGUGGGGAAUAUUGGAAAAUGGGCGCAAGCCUGAUCCAGCCAUACCGCGUGGGUGAAGAAGGCCUUCGGGUUGUAAAGCCCUUUUUUUGGGAAAGAAAAGCAGCAGGUUAAUAACCCGCUGUUCUGACGGUACCCAAAGAAUAAGCCCCGGCUAACUUCGUG
rnacentral:rRNA from 1 species